rnacentral:rRNA from 1 species
UACGUAGGGUGCAAGCGUUGUCCGGAAUUAUUGGGCGUAAAGAGCUCGUAGGCGGUCUGUCACGUCGGCUGUGAAAUCCCGAGGCUCAACCUCGGGUCUGCAGUCGAUACGGGCAAACUAGAGUAUUGCAGGGGAGACUGGAAUUCCUGGUGUAGCGGUGAAAUGCGCAGAUAUCAGGGGGAACACCGGUGGCGAAGGCGGGUCUCUGGGCAAUAACUGACGCUGAGGAGCGAAAGCGUGGGGAGCAAACAGG